GGAGGGGAGGAAAGGGGGCUGCGCUAGCAGCGCACUUCCGCUUUCGUCUGCUGUCCCCUGAGGCGUGGCGGGCUGAGGGCGGUGGCGCCGGCGGGUGGUGUUGGUCACCCCGGGCCGCCCUGCCGCCGGCUGGUCGGGCAGUUACCGUGCCAGCCUUGCUUCCCGGCCCUGGGGCCCGGUGGCGGCGGUGUGGGCGCUCCCUGGGCGCCUGAGGCCCGGCGAGGCGAGGCGGGGCCUCGUCCUCCGCCGCCCCCGCCGCGAAAGGCCCCUGAGGAGCCGGAGCCCCCUGGUGAUUCCGGUCCUUCUGAUGACUUUUUUUUCCCGGCUGAGCAGCGCGGGGCUCGCCGUGGGCCACUCUGCAAGGCCUUGCCGCCGGCAGGCCCCGGUGCCACGGCGGCCUUUGGCCAACCGGCAGGGGCUCGACCGCAGACGCCUUCUCAGGGGUAACACCUCAGCCAGCAAACCGGCAGGUUUAGCUACAGAAAAGUAGAACCCGUGUAAUUUUCUUCAGUGAAGGAGAUUAGAGAAGUUAUUCAGGAGUUAGUGUUUUGCAUCAUUUAUGAAGCAGAACUGUGCCUUUCCAGUCUAUUCUGAUGCAACUGGCUCUGCCUUGGUCUGUCCAACACAUGGCAGCUUUAUAGAGGAAAGAGCAUCCCUGCAGUGGGCAACAUGUGGUUUGUGGGUGAGAUGAUGUGAGCGUUCAUGGCACUUACUGGUGUUCCUGUGAGGCUGCUUGCCCUCAGACCCCUUCAGCUUGCUACAUGCGCCUUGGUUGCUGGCUUGGUGGCCCUGUGCACACUUUGACUGAACUGAGCAGUCAGCAGUGCUCUUGACGCAGCCAUCGUUAGUUAGGACUAACAGCAACAACGUGCUGCUGCUACUGCCGCUUCAUAUAUGCGUGUUGCUGUGUGGCAGGAUUCUGGUCACAGCCUCUUGUCUUAAAAAUGCUUCAUAAAGACUUUUUUUUUAAUCUAAAGCAAUGUUGUUUAGUGCUCAAGAGGUAAUCCACAGCAGUAAAUUCUGGUGCCUUGGUGUGUGAGCAGACUACGGGCCCCAAGUGAAACAAAUAUAUGAGCAGGAGACUGAGAAGCCUUGAAUAUUUCCAAGUCCCUUGAGGGCUUUGCGGCCCUCCACAUUUUUUUGUGGUUUUAAUGUUAAAGUGACUAAAGAAAGACUGCUGCUUUGCACUCUUCCAACAUGCAGCUUGUUUAAUCUUUGCAAAGUGGGCAUGUGGCACAUGCUUUGGGAAGAGAUGGGAGGGGACACUGGUGGCUGGGAUGGCAGUGGUUGUCUCUGUCUAGGACAGUCCUCCAAAUCUGGCACUGUCCCACCUAUGCUGUCUGCAGGGAGUCAAGCCUGUGAUGAACUGCCUUUCAGCUAUGCUUACAUUUUCUCUUGGAAGAGCUGUUUGCUGUGCUUCACUUGGGAACCCACGAACAAAUGAAUGUGGCUGUGGUGUGGCCAAUUAAGGACCCAGCACCCAGAUUGAAGAAUGAAAUAAAGUUGUCAGGUCGACUUUAGGUUUAUAAAGACACAUCAGUCUUUAUAUGAAAAGUAUGUGUAAAUAUAUUUAUAUGUGUGUAGUGCAAAGUAUUCACUGGAUUGACAAUUUUUUGAAACUGCGGUUCUGUAGUUAUGUGCUUUCCGCAUCUGGCGUGAUAGCAGAAUAGCUUUGAUGAGGAGAGGGGGAACAGUAUUAAAUUUAAAUUUUGAAGUCUUCUGAGUUGGGGUGUUUUCCGCAGCUAGAUUCAGUGUAAUCCUUGAAAUUCGUUACCAGGUUCACUUGUCAAGACUAAUUAUUUCAGAUUCUCACUUCAAAUCGGCUGCGAGCACGCCAGUGACAGUAUUGCUUGUUAAUGCGGGUUUUGUUUCCCUCCCAGCAGGCUGCCUUCCCGGCGGCGUGCGGCAGCGCUGCCACCCUGCGGCUUCUUACAGAAACGGAUCCACCGCUUCUCGGUGAAGAUGGUCAAGCGAGGCGAGCUUUUAGGAUCAAGGAUUCUGAAUUUAGAGCAGCUGUUACCACAGUUCCAGUAACUCUGCACGGGAUCUCCAGCAUUUUUGUGGAGUGCCUCAAGGCUGUUUUAAUUCUUUACGGGCUUCAGCCCAAAGGCUCUCUGAGUCACUGCAGUUAACGCUGCCAACGUGGGGUAGGUUGUUGUGAUGUCUUCUCCCUGUCUUCUUUAGAGGUUCUGUAUAGCUGUAUCGCACAGAUGCUGAUUUUUUUUUUCUGAAUAGCUGAUUGCAUAGGCAAGUUAGGAAGAAAAGCUUUAUACACCCUGAUUUUGCUUGAAUUCUGACUGAGCAUCUGUUUUUUUAGCAUACUCAUAAAGGUCUACAUAAAGCCAACAUAAAAUGUCUUCAAGCAAAUGCACACCCGUUGCCUAUCUCCACGUGCUUGCUUUUUUCAGGCUAUAACUUUUUCUAGCAGGAGUUCCACAGAAAUAUGCAGUCGUUACUGGACAUAAGAUCCUUUUUUUUACUGAUGAAGAGGUGAACCCUUAGCAUUUCAAAGUUUUGGCUGCUUUCUCAGCCUGAGCUUUUCCCGUUUAAACUAGGACGUGUUCUGAAGAUUGCAUCUUUAAAUAUAUAUUUGGAAAAUGUGCGAAUGUAUGCCAGUAGCAGUGAUCACAUUAACAUGGAAUGCAAAUAAGGUGAUUGGACACCUACCGAAUUCGGCAUGAGUACUUUUCAAUCAGAGAAGAUCCAGUGCAAGGUAGGCUGUGGGAAAGUGUAGGAGGGAGAGAAGAAAGCUGGAUAGCCCCUUGAGGCAGCCCACAGUGAAGGCAAGAUGAAGAGUUUUAUACAGCUGCAUCUUAAGUACCGUGGGCUCUGUGCAGAAGACUAUAAUGAAGUAUUUGUGUUUGAAGAGGAGGUACCUGGGAGCAACCUGUAUCUCACACGUUCGAUAGAAACGGCAUUGCGUGGAAUGGUCGUCAGCUACACACAUAUCAUCCUGCAGGUUAAUUAUGAGACAUCUCCCAAGCUGGCAGCCAGCAGGGAACAAGCUUAAACCUGUGGCAGGAGAUCAGUUAGGGAGGGAAUCCUUUGCUCCAGGGCUUAGUUUGUCAGGUGAAACUGUAAACUGAACUGUGCCUUCUCACACUUCUCUGAUGAUGUUACAGUACGAGAACUCACGCCAGCACUGUUUAAGUGUUACCUCCCUGCCGUAAGUGGCACUUAAACCAGCUCCACAAUAUUAAAACUUUCUGUUUAAUUUUACAAUAUAUAUUAUUCAAUAUUUUGUAUUUAUAUUCAAAUUAUAGAUACUAUAUAAUACGUAAAUAUUUAUGCCAUAUUUUUGUUUAGUGUAUAUAUAUUACAUAGUGUGUAUCUAUAUAUUGUUUAAUAUAUAUAGCUAGAUAUACUAUGUAAUAUAAGCAUAUGAAGAAAACAGCAGUGAAGUACCCCAAAAUAAAAGUCAAAUGAUUGG